rnacentral:rRNA from 1 species
AGUGAACGCUGGCGGCAGGCCUAACACAUGCAAGUCGAGCGGCAGCAGAGUACUUGCUCCUGGAUUCAGCUGCCGACGGGUGAGUGAUGCCUAAGUAUCUCCCUAUCUGCUUGUGCUUACGUCCGGAAGCGGGCGCUCUUACGCCAUUAGUCCCGACGGCGUAAGGGGGGAAUCUUCGGACCUUCCGCCAUUGCACGAGUCGAGGUCGGAUUAGCUAGUUGGUGGGGUAAAGGCCUACCAAGGCGACGAUCCGUAACUGGUCUGAGAGGAUGAUCAGCCACACUGGAACUGAGACACGGUCCAGACUCCUACGGGAGGCAGCAGUGGGGAAUAUUGGACAAUGGGCGCAAGCCUGAUCCAGCCAUACCGCGUGUGUGAAGAAGGCCUUCGGAUUGUAAAGCACUUUUGGUGGGGAGGAAGAGCAGUAAGUUAAUACCUUGCUGUUUUGACGGUACCAACAGAAUAAGCACCGGCUAACUUCGUG